UUAGAGGCUGUGAUGUUGCAAUCUACCUAUUUUAUGAGAGGGUUCCCUCUCUGAUUAAAAACUACCAAUGGAUCCUUCUGAGCUUCUU